GUGCUCACGUCAGCAGCAUAUACAGUAAAAUUUGAACUGUACUGAGAAGAGUAGCUGGUCUCUGAGUAAGAAUGAAGCCCAAAUUCGUAAUUCAGUGGGUAGUUUU